UAGUCCACGCCGUAAACGAUGAUAACUAGCUGUCGGGGCACUUGGUGCUUCGGUGGCGCAGCUAACGCAUUAAGUUAUCCGCCUGGGGAGUACGGUCGCAAGAUUAAAACUCAAAGGAAUUGACGGGGGCCUGCACAAGCGGUGGAGCAUGUGGUUUAAUUCGAAGCAACGCGCAGAACCUUACCAGCGUUUGACAUGCCCGGACGGUUGGCAGAGAUGCCUUCCUUCCCUUCGGGGACUGGGACAC
rnacentral:rRNA from 1 species